CACUGUAGAAGUGACUGUAGGUUAUAAAGUAGAAGAUACAUUCAUUUUUCCCAUCACCACCCUUGUCAACUUCCUCCUCCAGAUCCUCUAAGAUGACUUAUCGUGGCUCUCUGAGAUACAGCCUUCAAGACACCAUACAGAUUCAGGAUGAUGGCACCUUUCAUAAGGACUGCAAUAAUCCUUCUGUUCCUGAUGAUGCAUGAACUACAGUCCCAAUGACAGUCACAUUAUAGUGGGCUAUGGAGGAGCAGUUUGGAUUGACUACAUGAAAGUCCUCAGUGCAACGUGAUGGUGUGUUGUCCUGUGCUGUGAAGAGUUAACACGUGCUGUGGUAGAGGUUGUCACACUGCAGUGGUAAGUGAAUUUGCUAUGAAAAUUGAAGAAACCAGUGCAGAAAAAUGCCAAAUCAUCUUGAAAUAAAGUACAAAAUUUGCCAGUGGUUUUGGCGCACAAGGUGGUGGAUGCUGUAAAAUAUAGAAUUAAUUUAAUGCCACCCAAGUUAUC